AACUAACGCUGGCGGCGUGCCUAACACAUGCAAGUCGUACGAGAAAGCCGGCUUCGGCUGGUGAGUAAAGUGGCGCACGGGUGAGUAACGCGUGGAUAAUCUGCCCUUAAGUGUGGAAUAACGUACCGAAAGGUGCGCUAAUACCGCAUAAUGCCUGGCAACACAAGUUGUCCGGCCAAAGAAGGCCUCUGUUUACAAGCUUUCGCUUCAGGAUGAGUCCGCGUACCAUUAGCUUGUUGGUGGGGUAAUGGCCUACCAAGGCUGCGAUGGUUAGCUGGUCUGAGAGGAUGAUCAGCCACACUGGAACUGAGACACGGUCCAGACUCCUACGGGAGGCAGCAGUGAGGAAUAUUGCGCAAUGGGGGCAACCCUGACGCAGCAACGCCGCGUGAGUGAGGAAGGUUUUCGGAUUGUAACCUCUGUUCUUGGUGACGAAAAGAUGACGGUAGCCAAGGAGAAAGCCCCGGCUAACCUAUGUGCCAGCAGCCGCGGU
rnacentral:rRNA from 1 species